rnacentral:rRNA from 1 species
AUGAACGCUGGCGGCGUGCCUAAUACAUGCACGUUGCGCGCACGGACGAGAAGCUUGCUUCUCUGAUGUUAGCGGCGGACGGGUGAGUAACACGUGGAUAACCUACCUAUAAGACUGGGAUAACUUCGGGAAACCGGAGCUAAUACCGGAUAAUAUUUUGAACCGCAUGGUUCAAAAGUGAAAGACGGUCUUGCUGUCACUUAUAGAUGGAUCCGCGCUGCAUUAGCUAGUUGGUAAGGUAACGGCUUACCAAGGCAACGAUGCAUAGCCGACCUGAGAGGGUGAUCGGCCACACUGGAACUGAGACACGGUCCAGACUCCUACGGGAGGCAGCAGUAGGGAAUCUUCCGCAAUGGGCGAAAGCCUGACGGAGCAACGCCGCGUGAGUGAUGAAGGUCUUCGGAUCGUAAAACUCUGUUAUUAGGGAAGAACAUAUGUGUAAGUAACUGUGCACAUCUUGACGGUACCUAAUCAGAAAGCCACGGCUAACUACGUG